UUAAGAGGGUAGAUCUCAUGUUAAGUGUUCUUACCACAGUUAAAUUAAUUUAACAUUAAAAACUGAAUUGUGAAAGUGGUAACUUAGUCACAAGUGCAGAGAAAAUGAGAGAGUUGUAGGAUAGGAGGAAAUCAUUCAGCGUGCAACAGAGAGAUGUUAAGGAGAUGGGAAAUAUAAAAUAUCUUUAGACAUACAGAAUAGAGUAUGAAUAUUGAACACAGAUUUAAUAAUCAUUCCUAAAGGAGAUGAUACAGCAAAUGGGGAUGAGGUAAAUAUACAAUAACUGGUAAUUCUACAGACUAGACAAAUGGUAUGACUUGUCAGAUUGAAGAAGUACAUUGAGUUCCAGCAUGAAAAAAAUAAAAAGCAAUUCAUACUUUGAAACACGAGGGUAAAAUUGCCCAAUUCUAAAUGCAAAAGGAAGUUUUAAAAUCAGAGAGAUAAGACAGAUAACCCACAAAAGAACAGCAAACCAGAUUGACAUCAGAUAUCUCAAUAGCAACGAGAUAGAACAGGAAGUGAUGAAAUGAAAUCCCUCGUUGGCCAAGAAUUUUAUAACCAUUCAAGAAAUGAGGCCAGAUGCAAUAAAAGCCAGAAAAUAAUGAAAACCAUCUUCAAAUAACUAAAAACUCUAUCACCAACUGAAAUAUGCAAGAAUAAAUACUAAAUUGAUUCAUCUUUGGAAAAUGCUGAGUUUACCAAACAAAAAUUCCCUAAAGAAAAUAAAUAAUGGAUGUACGUAAUGGAAAAUAAAUUUGAACUCACAAAGAAGAACUGGAGUACAAGAAGUAAAGAUACUGUUAAACGUGACCAAACCUAAUAUACAUUAACUUUAAUAACAGUGAUGGUAAUAAAGAGUAAGUUUUAGAUGUUUAAAAGAAAGGUAGAAUUAAAAUAGUUGAUAGCAGUAACAAGAAAUGGAAGGUAAUAAAAAGAGAAGUAUGGAUACGUUUAUAUUUUACAUUUGAUUUUACUUUUUGGUCAAGUGGGCACAUUAAGUAAACUACUAAAAGAUUAUAAAUACAUCUAAACAAGUAAAUAGGAGAAAAGGGGAAAUUUUUAAAUUAAUGUAAUUAGAAGUAGAGAAAAUAUAGAAAGAAAAAAGAGUAAAUAAAUAUUAUAACAGACACUAUAAAAUAAGAGAGAGAGAAAAUAUAAAUAUGUAGAAUCAAAAGAAACAAAAAUGAUUACAUUUGCCUGUUAUAAAAGAGAAGGAAGAAAACCUUAGAUUGAGUUUUAAAAGCCCAACUUUGUGCGUUUCUAACAGAAAACAUCUAAAGUUUAAGAUACAGGAAUGUUGAAAGUAAACUGAAGGCAAGGCAAAACACAAAGUUUUGGGAAAAGAGGGUCAUUACAUGUUAUCAUUAGAAAAAAAUGAUUCAUCAGCAAGAUGCAAUAUAUCUGAACUCUUGAUAAAAUAUUCCCUUGAGUGUAUUUUAAGUUUGUACACACACAAAAAUGGACACAAUUAUUAGAUGGAACCUAUUGAAACUGCCAUAAUUGUAGGUCAGUACUGUUAAAUAACAACCAUUUCAUGUGAUUCAACCAAAAAAAUUGAAAACAUGACAAUUAUAAUGAGACUUUUAAAAAGGUACAUCUUAUAAAUAUUAGACUGCAUGAAAAAAGUUUCUAAGGAAAUAGAAAAUUAAACAGCAUAAAACAAGCUUAAGCAAAAACAAAAAUCAGAGACUAUACAUUGCUUUUAAACAUUCUUGGAACAUUAACAAAAUUUGACAACAUAAGAUGCCACAAACACAUCUUAACGUGUAUAAAAUAAUCAAGAGCCUAUAGAACAUGGGCUCAUGUUUUCAGAUCAUAAUGCAAUACAAAUAAAAGCCAAAAAGCCUAUACUUUUAAAAUUAAGAACACGUCUGUAAGAUCUUUAAUAAAAGACAACACAAUAAGGGAACUUAUUACAUAUUGGAACUACACGAUAAUGAAAACACUACAUCAAAAUUUAUGAGAUGUGGCUAAGUUGGUAGAGAAAAUUUUAUAGACUUACAUACACGUAUUUAGAAGAAAAUAGGGAUGGAAAAUUAAUCAGCUAAGCACUCAACCUUGUAGGUUAGAUGAGGACAAUACAAAAAUAGGAUAAAAUCAACUAAUCUCAGAAACAUCAAUACUAAAGACAUCAUCACAACCUAAUUGUAUACAGUCCAGAAAGUAAGGCUACUUUAACAAUAAAAUAUCAAUAAAUGAUUUUAUGUUAGGAAAUGGAAGCUAAAAUUCUGAGAUGAUCUCUAUAGGUACAGAAAAAUAUUUGAUAAAAUUCAGUAUUCAUCAAGAGGUAUCAAUAUAUUCUAAAGAAAUGUAGGCAUGUGAAAUCUGUAUUAGACAUGACAUCAGUUUGCUUCACUUCUACUUUAAUUAUCAUAGUUCUUUAAAAAGACUGCAUGUUCUCACUCAGGUGGGAAUUGAACAAUGAGAACACACGGACACAGGAAGGGGAACAUCACACUCUGGGGACUGUUGUUGGGUGGGGGGAGGGAUAGCAUUAGGAGGUAUACCUAAUGCUAAAUGACGAGUUAAUGGGUGCAGCACACCAGCAUGGCACAUGUAUACGUAUAUAACUAACCUGCACAUUGUGCACAUGUACCCUAAAACUUAAAGUAUAAUAAAAAAAAAAAAGACAGGAUAAAAAAGUAAAACUAACUUUUUCAAAGCCUCAGUAUUCCAUCACUUACAUAUCAAUUUUUUUGUAAACAAAUUUUCCUUAAGAUAAUUAUUUUCAUUAAUAUUAAGAAAAAUGUCUUACUGUAUUAAUGGAGAUUUCUUUAAAUAAAUUAUUCUUAAAGUUUCAGAUUUGUUUAAUAGAAAUAAAAUUUUGAUGAAUUAUAUUAGAGGUAUGAUAUUCUCAGUAAGUCCUAUUAUUUAUGCUAAAAAUACCCUUUGGGUUUAUACAUAAAGUGCUUAGCAAAGCAGUUUUUCACUUUCACUUGUAACUCCUUAACAAUGUUCCUGACAUCACCACCAACCUCUCUUUUAUCCAGGCCUGCAAAAUGACAGCCAUCCUUAGUUUUUUUCUUACCCCAGCAAUUGACUCAGUUCUAUUAAUACACAUUAACAGACCUAUCACAAAGGACUACCCAGUUUGGCCAGAGAGUUCUGAGAUGAUAUAUUUAAUUCAAAAUGGCCUCCUUCCCAAUCUCCCACCUCUUCUCUCUCCUCAGCCCCUACACUUCACAACAAGUAUUAGGUCUAGACAGGACUGUCCCCUUCACUGACAAAAAAAAAAAAAAAAGCAGAAAGGAUUCAACAUGAUAUCUGUUUGUGGAUGAUAAAAAAAAUUUUUAAAGAGAAAAUCAACAAAGGGAAACAUGAAGAAGAAACAAAAUUUAAAAAAUAUUUAUCUGUACAUCCAGGAAAUCAUGAAAAUCGGCACUCCGAUUUAACAGGAAAGAGUUGCAAGAAAUCCGAGAACAGAUUUCUUGAAGAAAAUGCACCCUUGGUUAUGUAUGGCAUCACUCACCAUCUGUUCAUGGAUACUUCUACAUGCAAAGUUGUACAUGACUUGGAAUAAACCAGCUCUAGUUUUAUCAUCAGUGUUAAUUGUAAAUACAUUAUCUGUAAUCAGAAAUAAAUGUUAGUGAUACCAUGA